GAGUUUGAUCGUGGCUCAGGAUGAACGCUAGCGGCAGGCCUAACACAUGCAAGCCGAGGGGCAGCGGGAUUGAAGCUUGCUUCAGUUGCCGGCGACCGGCGCACGGGUGAGUAACACGUAUGCAACCUGCCCGCAGCAGGGGGAUAAGCCGGAGAAAUCCGGUCUAAUACCGCGUAACACCCUGAGGGGACAUCCUCUUGGGGUCAAAGGAGCGAUCCGGCUGCGGAUGGGCAUGCGUCGCAUUAGGCAGUUGGCGGGGUAAC
rnacentral:rRNA from 1 species